GUGGGGAAUCUUCCGCAAUGGACGAAAGUCUGACGGAGCAACGCCGCGUGAAGGAAGAAGGUUUUCGGAUCGUAAACUUCUAUCCUUGGUGAAGAUAAUGACGGUAGCCAAGAAGGAAGCCCCGGCUAACUACGUGCCAGCAGCCGCGGUAAUACGUAGGUGGCAAGCGUUGUCCGGAUUUACUGGGUGUAAAGGGCGCGUAGGCGGGAGAGCAAGUCAGGAGUGAAAUCUAUGGGCUUAAUCCAUAAAUUGCUUUUGAAACUGUUUUUCUUGAGUGAUGGAGAGGCAAGCGGAAUUCCUAGUGUAGCGGUGAAAUGCGUAGAUAUUAGGAGGAACACCAGUGGCGAAGGCGGCUUGCUGGACAUUAACUGACGCUGAUGCGCGAAAGCGUGGGGAGCAAACAGGAUUAGAAACCCGUGUAGUCC
rnacentral:rRNA from 1 species